CCCGACGGACCAGUUGCACGAACCAAAACAUGCUAACCAGUGCGCUAGGACUGGGACACACUUCAAAGAAGUGGAGGAGAGGCAAUGUAUUGUCCAUAUUGUGGAAUCCAGCUAGUGGGGCAAAUUGGAGUUUUUUGUGGGUCCUGUGGAACUAACAUUCAAGUUUUAGCACCUUUUAUAGAGAAUGGCCCAGUCUCAGUCACAGACAUCAUCAAUAAGUAUUUCUCUGAGGGCCAUACAUAUGAAGUGAUCCUGGAUUUUCCUGAAAACAAGCAUAA